ACCUUCCGGAGGUCCUGCCUCCUAGCCCCAUCACCUUGCGGGUGAGGAUUUCAACAGAUGAAUAUGGCGGUGGGGGGGUGUAAACAUUCCGAUCGCAGCAGCCACCCACGUAUCACCUUGGUCUGGGGUGUAGCAGGCAUUGCCAGGGCUCAGCCAAAGCCGGGCUCCAGCUGCUCGUGGAGAUAACAAAGGCUUCUGUGGCCUCAUCUACUUCAUUGUGACGAGGUCGAGGCUGUAAGGGGCCAAGUGGAUGAUUUAGCUCAACAGCUAAAUGAUGUUCUGGGAGAAAGGGACUGAGGCUGCCGUGGACAGUGGUCAUCUCGGGCUUCGAAGUCAAUGUGAAGUCAACGUCUAAUGGACCCGAGUUCAGCCAAGAACACACACCAGUUGUUCCAGGGAAGAAUCUCAUGGUGAAGCACUAGUGAGCGUCCAAGCAACUCCCAGCCUAACCUCACCGGUCUGACUGUGGGGCUGCUUCUGCCACGGCUCCUGGCUGGCGAUGGGGCUGUCAGCGUGUCAGCCAACCAUGCAUUGCAGAUGCACUUUGAAGAAAAUUAAUGUACCUGGGUACUUAUGGGACUCCCUGAAUGAGUGGGUAUAAUUGAAAUAGCCGGGACAUCAAAAAGCUGGAACACUGGGAGCCUGGCCCUAGGGUGGCGGAGGCCACAACGGAGCCCCCAGCCGGUUGGAAAGAGGCUUCCUAUGCUCUCCUUUCCAUGCCACUGCGGAAGUGCUAGGGAACAGGAAGACCAGGGCAUUGCCAAGUGAAUAAUAACAACCAUGUGUGCGGCGUUCACGAUACCCCAGGCUCAGUGAGCCUUUUACUCAGGGUCUCAUGUGAUGCUGAAAACAAUCCCAUGAAGUUUAGAAGCCUGUGCACACGAAGAGACGUGGUGUUUCCCUAUUGAUCCAAACUGCAUGCUGACCUGUUCCUGCCAGGGCUGCGCUCCUCCUGCUUUGCCCUGGCUCUCCCGUUCUGCACUCCCUCUUCUACCGGGAAUUCCUGGAAGCACCUUUUAUUCACAGUGCCUGCUUUGAAUAGAUACAAAUACAAUUUGUAUCUUAUGUAGUCCAUUCCACACAAUUGAAAAUAUAAUGUAAUAAAAAUCAGAAAAGUAAAUCCAGGAAAGUCUCUAACACAUAUUAGGGCCUCAAUAAAUGGACCCUAAGAGGGUGGGGAAAUGGCUUUGGUUUUUA
rnacentral:lncRNA from 1 species